UACGUAGGGUCCGAGCGUUGUCCGGAAUUACUGGGCGUAAAGAGCUCGUAGGUGGUUUGUCACGUUGUUCGUGAAAACCCACAGCUCAACUGUGGGCGUGCGAGCGAUACGGGCAGACUAGAGUACUGCAGGGGAGACUGGAAUUCCUGGUGUAGCGGUGGAAUGCGCAGAUAUCAGGAGGAACACCGAUGGCGAAGGCAGGUCUCUGGGCCACUACUGACGCUGAGAAGCGAAAGCGUGGGGAGCGAACAGG
rnacentral:rRNA from 1 species